AUUUAGUGCUUUACACACACACACACCUAUAUGUAUAUGUAUGUGUGUGUGUAAAGCACUAAAU
rnacentral:miRNA from 1 species